AUAUUGGUCAAUGGUCGGCAGACUGAACCAGCCAAGUCGCGUGAGGGAAGACGGCCCUACGGGUUGUAAACCUCUUUUGUCGGAGAGUAAAGUACGCUACGUGUAGUGUAUUGCAAGUAUCCGAAGAAAAAGCAUCGGCUAACUCCGUGCCAGCAGCCGCGGUAAUACGGAGGAUGCAAGCGUUAUCCGGAUUUAUUGGGUUUAAAGGGUGCGUAGGCGGCACGCCAAGUCAGCGGUGAAAGUUUCCGGCUCAACCCGGAGUGUGCCGUUGAAACUGGCGAGUCUAGAGUACACAAGAGGCAGGCGGAAUGCGUGGUGUAGCGGUGAAAUGCAUAGAUAUCACGCAGAACCCCGAUUGCGAAGGCAGCCUGCUAGGGUGAAACAGACGCUGAGGCACGAAAGCGUGGGUAUCGAACAGGAUUAGAUACCCUGGUAGUCCACGCAGUAAACGAUGAAUACUAACUGUUUGCGAUACAAUGUAAGCGGUACAGCGAAAGCGUUAAGUAUUCCACCUGGGGAGUACGCCGGCAACGGUGAAACUCAAAGGAAUUGACGGGGGCCCGCACAAGCGGAGGAACAUGUGGUUUAAUUCGAUGAUACGCGAGGAACCUUACCCGGGCUCAAACGCAGGGGGAAUAUAUAUGAAAGUAUAUAGCUAGCAAUAGUCACCUGCGAGGUGCUGCAUGGUUGUCGUCAGCUCGUGCCGUGAGGUGUCGGCUUAAGUGCCAUAACGAGCGCAACCCCUAUCGACAGUUACUAACGGGUCAAGCCGAGGACUCUGUCGAGACUGCCGGCGUAAGCCGCGAGGAAGGUGGGGAUGACGUCAAAUCAGCACGGCCCUUACGUCCGGGGCGACACACGUGUUACAAUGGCAGGUACAGAAGGCAGCCAGUCAGCAAUGACGCGCGAAUCCCGAAAACCU
rnacentral:rRNA from 1 species